UGCCCAAUGCGGGAAUCGAACCCGGGUCGUAGCGGUCGAAAACCAAUGUUUUAGACCAUUCUUCCAUCGACCAACAUGGAU